GUCGCGUUAGUGUAGUGGUAGCAUGCCUCUUUCGGGAUAUCUUGUCCAGUUUGCGUAGGCACACGCCUUAGAGGUGGUCGUGGGUUCAACUCCCACACGCGACC
rfam:Tilletiaria anomala TBC 951 K437scaffold_35, whole genome shotgun sequence.